GGAAAUGUGCAAAAAUCAUGCCUGUAUAAUUAUUGCUUAUAGAUAAGGAUAUUCUAUGUGUUUAUUUGUCUUCCUAAUUUGGAUUUUGGUUAGAAAAGAUUCUAUAUUUGUAUCUUAUAAUUGCAAAUUCGCACUAAUUAUGCUUAUGUACACACUUAUUACGUAUGACUGCUUGUGCAUAGUAAACAACCUUCUUGUUAUAAUAAUUAGUUUGAGGGGGCAAGCUCUGUUUUGGUGGCUUCGGUGUGGAAUGGUUCCUGUGAUGAUUGGCAAUGAAGAAUUAAGUACACUAAAACACAUAUAAUGUGAAUGAGAAUGGUGAAGAUUGAUGUAAUUUUAUUUGUAAGGGGUGGUAUAUGAAAAGAGAAAUCGUAAGAAACAAAAUAAAUUUGAGAUAUUUGUAAUAUUGUUGAAGAUUGGGCAAAUUUGUCACAUCCAGCACAACAAAUUAAAUGGUUUUAAAUAAGUUUUUUCAGACUCAAACAAUCAUCUACUACUCUUACAGAUGCCUGAUGGAGAUUAGGGGGUUCAAGGACCCCUUUCUCAUAAUCCAAUGCAUUUUUGAAUUGGAUUAUUAAAAGUAACAUAGGGUUGUUUGGAAUAGUUCAAAUAUUUCGCUAGCAAACACGGAAUUUGAGCCUUUUUUGGCUAUAAAGCGCCAACUAUUACAGCGGUUUAGCGCAUCUUCCGCAUAUUGAACCUGAGCUUAAUAGCUUUUAUUACUUGUCGUUAUAUACUUUUGACAAGAUUAUAGCUGUAUCUGACGAUCAUAGUUUUGAUUCAAAAACCUGGUCUAGGAGAUAUAUUUCUGUGCUAAAUUCUAGUUUUNAAUUUUCAAUUUUGAAUGUCCGAAUCAUGUAAUCUUCUUUGUUUUUUUACGUGGUUUUUUGCAUCGCAUUUGUGAAAUUGCAAUAAGAAAAACAACAACUAUUGUUAUACCAGCAAGAACGAACGAAUGUUAUUUAUUUUCUACAUAAUCUCACAACAAAAUCGAAAGAUAAUGAGCAAGUUCAGAUAGACAAAAUUUUGAAGCAAUCGCCAAGUAUUUUACCUUAGAUAUUCGAAGCCAUUUGGAAAGCAACCACGGUGAAUCACAAACUUCGAUCAGUAGCUGUCGGUGAUCGACAACGGACGACGCAGAUGGCAGAGACGUUUCUCUUUCAAAGUCGCCAAAUGUUUCCAGUUUUUAGUGGGAAAAAAUGGCUCCCAAAGAUGGUGGUUUUUCAAAAUCUAAUUUCGUGGACUUCAAGCAGGGUUUAUUAGAAGGGUAGGGAGUGGGUUUUCUAAAUUUAAUAGAGGGUAUGAAAGUAAUUCUGUGUUUUAUUAAUCAUCCUAAUCAACUAGCUAGCAAACACAUUUUCAGAUUAAUAAUCAAGCAUUAAUAAUAACGGGCCUUCCAGAAAAAAAAAAAAAAACCUAGUGUAAUCUUGCAAACUCAGUAAACAGGCUAUAAAAUUAUAAGGAGGGAUUAUAGCAAAAAAAUACACGAACUUUUGAUAAAAGUUGCAAUUUUUCACCUGAACUUUCAAAUUGUCCAAAAUAUACCUGAACUUAUAUUUUUUGUUGUAAAUUUCACCUCGACGGAGUUCAAUCAUUGCAAGUUCAGGUGAAAUUUACAACAAAAAAUAUAAGUUCAGGUAUAUUUUGGCUAAUUUGAAAGUUCAGGUGAAAAUUGCAACUUUUAUCAAAGUUCGUGUAUUUUUUGACUAUAAUUCCUUAUAAGGAAUAGUCAAGCGACUCCGAUAUUUUUCGAAAUUUGCAUAACCCUCAUUUCCUCAUUCCCGCCCCCCUCCCUCCAAUAAAAGGGGGCCAAAUUGAAAUUUUGGCCAAUGAUUUCAUUUCAUUUCACGAUAUUCAGAAUAUUUUUAAAGGAAAUUAGGGUUUUGUUUUGUUUUGUUUUGUUUUCUGGAGCAUAAUUCUCCAAUGGCGGUAAAUCGAAUAACCGUCUCCAGCUGUGAACUCAUUUGUGUGGGCGAAGUAUUUGUAGUUUUGUGUCAAUAUUUUCGAACAGAGAUGUAUAGAUUGAAUUUGAUUAAGCAUCUUAUUUUGUGCAUACAUCUUUCUGUAUUUAUGGGCUCAUUACCUUACGGUUUUCUGUUUGUAAUGUGAUUUUUUUUCUUGGGAAAUUGGAUUAUAUCUUUGUGUAUUUUGUGUGUGCAAAUUCAGAAACCAUUGAUGCAUUAAGUGUAUUAUUGCAAAUAUGUUGCCCUUGUAUUUUUAUUUGAUUGAAGAAACUGAAUUUAUGUGGAGAUACUGUUUGUAGUCUAUUAAUUUCUUUCUUGUGAUUGUUAAUUAUAGUUGCUCUUACACGAUCACCCUCCAUUAUGUAGGUGUUGGAUGUACGUGUUGGAAAUGUGCAAAAAUCAUGCCUGUAUAAUUAUUGCUUAUAGAUAAGGAUAUUCUAUGUGUUUAUUUGUCUUCCUAAUUUGGAUUUUGGUUAGAAAAGAUUCUAUAUUUGUAUCUUAUAAUUGCAAAUUCGCACUAAUUAUGCUUAUGUACACACUUAUUACGUAUGACUGCUUGUGCAUAGUAAACAACCUUCUUGUUAUAAUAAUUAGUUUGAGGGGGCAAGCUCUGUUUUGGUGGCUUCGGUGUGGAAUGGUUCCUGUGAUGAUUGGCAAUGAAGAAUUAAGUACACUAAAACACAUAUAAUGUGAAUGAGAAUGGUG
rnacentral:lncRNA from 1 species